UGGACAACAGGUAGAGAUUCCUGUACCAGUGCUAAUUGUUUAACCGAUGGGGUGACACAGAAGGAUAGGGAAUCGCACGAAUGGAAAUGUGCGUCCAAGCAGUGAGUGUGAGAAGUAGGCAAAUCCGCUUCUCGCGAAGCAUGAGCUGUGAUGGGGAAGGAAAUUAAGUACGGAAGUUCCUGAUUUCACGCUGUCAAGAAAAGCCUCUAGGAAGAGUAGUACUGCCCGUACCGCAAACCGACACAGGUAGAUGAGGAGAGAAUCCUAAGGUGAGCGAGAGAACUCUCGUUAAGGAACUCGGCAAAAUGACCCCGUAACUUCGGGAGAAGGGGUGCUCUAUUAGGGUGCAAGCCCGAGAGAGCCGCAGUGAAUAGGCCCAGGCGACUGUUUAGCAAAAACACAGGUCUCUGCAAAACCGUAAGGUGACGUAUAGGGGCUGACGCCUGCCCGGUGCUGGAAGGUUAAGAGGAGUGCUUAGCUUCGGCGAAGGUACGAAUUGAAGCCCCAGUAAACGGCGGCCGUAACUAUAACGGUCCUAAGGUAGCGA
rnacentral:rRNA from 1 species